rnacentral:rRNA from 1 species
ACGGACUCCUACGGGAGGCAGCAGCUAAGAAUAUUCCGCAAUGGGGGAAACCCUGACGGAGCGACGCCGCGUGGAUGAUGAAGGUCGGAAGAUUGUAAAAUCCUUUUAUGACUGAGGAAUAAGGAGGGUGAGAGAAACGCCUUCUGGUGACUGUAGGUCAUGAAUAAGCAACGGCUAAUUACGUGCCAGCAGCCGCGGUAAU